GUAUUUCCAUUCCAAACUUUGCUCUCCGAUGGAGUAGACUCCUUGGUCAGUGGACAGCAGGAUGGAGACAACAAGAAGAAACCAAUAUUGAAAGUCCCUCAGGAAGGUGUGUCCAAACUGGCAACAUUACAGCUCUAUGACAAGGAGCUGGAGUCAGAGUUUGGUCCGUUUGAUGACUGGGUCAACACCUUCGAGCUGUUCAGAGGGAAAGCCAACGACGAGGUGGGCCGUUCUAAUGAGGAGAGGGUCGUCGGGAAGUUCAAGGGUCGGUUCUGCGURUACAAGCUAACUGAGGAGGAUGAUGAGUGGGAGGAGAGUCCGAACUCAGGCCAGUUUAAGAUCACCCGAGGGAUCCCACCCAACACCUCGGU